rnacentral:misc_RNA from 1 species
GAUGAAGACGUAGCGAAAUGCGAUAAGUAAUGUGAAUUGCAGAAUUCAGUGAAUCAUCGAAUCUUUGAACGCACCUUGCGCCCUUUGGCCAUUCCGAAGGGCAUGCCUGUUUGAGUAUCAUGAACACCUCAACUCUUCAUGGUUUUCCGUGAUGAGCUUGGACUUUGGGGGUCUUGCUGGCCUAUGGUCAGCUCCUCUAAAAUAAAUCAGCUUGCCAGUGUUUGGUGGGUAUCACAGGUGUGAUAACUAUCUACGCUUGUGGUUUUCCACCAGGUAACCUUCAGCAGUGGAGGUUCGCUGGAGCUCACAGAUGUGUCUCUCCUCAGUGAGGACAGCUCUUUGAAUGUUUGAUCUCAAAUCAGGUAGGACUACCCGCUGAACUUAAGCAUAUCAAUAAGCGGAGGA